GACAGAGGGUGCAAACGUUGUUCGGAAUUACUGGGCGUAAAACGAGUGUAGGCGGUCUGGUAAGUCGGAUGUGAAAGCCCCGGGCUCAACCCGGGAAGUGCACUCGAUACUGCCAGGCUAGAGUAUCGGAGAGGUUGGUGGAAUUCUCGGUGUAGAGGUGAAAUUCGUAGAUAUCGAGAGGAACACCGGUGGCGAAGGCGGCCAACUGGACGAAUACUGACGCUGAGACUCGAAAGCGUGGGGAGCAAACAGG
rnacentral:rRNA from 1 species